rnacentral:rRNA from 1 species
AUAGGUUAAUGAGGCGAACCGGGGGAACUGAAACAUCUAAGUACCCCGAGGAAAAGAAAUCAACCGAGAUUCCCCCAGUAGCGGCGAGCGAACGGGGAGGAGCCCAGAGCCUGAAUCAGUGUGUGUGUUAGUGGAAGCGUCUGGAAAGGCGCGCGAUACAGGGUGACAGCCCCGUACACAAAAAUGCACAUAUUGUGAGCUCGAUGAGUAGGGCGGGACACGUGGUAUCCUGUCUGAAUAUGGGGGGACCAUCCUCCAAGGCUAAAUACUCCUGACUGACCGAUAGUGAACCAGUACCGUGAGGGAAAGGCGAAAAGAACCCCGGCGAGGGGAGUGAAAAAGAACCUGAAACCGUGUACGUACAAGCAGUGGGAGCCUCUUAAUGGGGUGACUGCGUACCUUUUGUAUAAUGGGUCAGCGACUUAUAUUCUGUAGCAAGGUUAACCGAAUAGGGGAGCCGAAGGGAAACCGAGUCUUAACUGGGCGUUAAGUUGCAGGGUAUAGACCCGAAACCCGGUGAUCUAGCCAUGGGCAGGUUGAAGGUUGGGUAACACUAACUGGAGGACCGAACCGACUAAUGUUGAAAAAUUAGCGGAUGACUUGUGGCUGGGGGUGAAAGGCCAAUCAAACCGGGAGAUAGCUGGUUCUCCCCGAAAGCUAUUUAGGUAGCGCCUCGUGAAUUCAUCUCCGGGGGUAGAGCACUGUUUCGGCAAGGGGGUCAUCCCGACUUACCAACCCGAUGCAAACUGCGAAUACCGGAGAAUGUUAUCACGGGAGACACACGGCGGGUGCUAACGUCCGUCGUGAAGAGGGAAACAACCCAGACCGCCAGCUAAGGUCCCAAAGUCAUGGUUAAGUGGGAAACGAUGUGGGAAGGCCCAGACAGCCAGGAUGUUGGCUUAGAAGCAGCCAUCAUUUAAAGAAAGCGUAAUAGCUCACUGGUCGAGUCGGCCUGCGCGGAAGAUGUAACGGGGCUAAACCAUG